AUUGAACGCUGGCGGCAGGCCUAACACAUGCAAGUCGAGCGAGCGGCGGACGGGUGAGUAAUAUAUGGGGAUCUGCCCGAUAGGGGGGGAUAACUACUGGAAACGGUAGCUAAUACCGCAUACCAUCAGAUGUGCCCACAUGGGAUUAGCUAGUGGGUGGGGUAAUGGCUCACCUAGGCGACGAUCCCUAGCUGGUCUGAGAGGAUGACCAGCCACACUGGAACUGAGACACGGUCCAGACUCCUACGGGAGGCAGCAGUGGGGAAUAUUGCACAAUGGGCGCCAGCCUGAUGCAGCCAUGCCGCGUGUGUGAAGAAGGCCUUCGGGUUGUAAAGCACUUUCAGCGAGGAGGCGUUACUCGCAGAAGAAGCACCGGCUAACUCCGUGCCAGCCGCCGCGGUAAUUC
rnacentral:rRNA from 1 species